rnacentral:rRNA from 1 species
AUUGAACGCUGGCGGCAGGCCUAACACAUGCAAGUCGAACGAGUGGCGGACGGGUGCGUAAUGUCUGGGAAACUGCCUGCUGGAGGGGGAUAACUACUGGAAACGGUAGCUAAUACCGCAUACCAUCGGAUGUGCCCAGAUGGGAUUAGCUAGUAGGUGGGGUAAAGUCUCACCUAGGCGACGAUCCCUAGCUGGUCUGAGAGGAUGACCAGCCAAACUGGAACUGAGACACGUCCCAGACUCCUACGGGAGGCAGCAGUGGGUAAUAUUGCACAAUGGGCGCAAGCCUGAUGCAGCCAUGCCGCGUGUAUGAAGAAGGCCUUCGGGUUGUAAAGUACUUUCAGCGGGGAGGCGGUACCCGCAGAAGAAGCACCGGCUAACUCCGUGCCAGCAGCCGCGGUAAUUC